GUUCUUCACUUCAUACUUGGAUGAGUAAUGAGAAACAACUAGCAAAAUGUCUCAUCAGCUUCAUGCGAAUCAGCAGCAAAACAUAACUGAAGUGUUUACGUUGGAAUCGUUCUCGUCACUGGAGGAACGAUAUCGAAGGAGAAUACUAUAGGAGCCGAUUAUUUUUCCGACCGUACAUUGGAAGAGUGCCAAAUCGUAUGAAACAUCGAGCUAUAGAAGAUGCAGUUUAGAGUGACAGUGGCCAGCUACUUACAGCUACCUUUCGUAGUGGAAUCGAGCACUAUGAUACGAGAAGGAAUAAUCUGCUGCGCAAGGCAGGAGAUUUCCAUCGCAGUAGAUGAUCAGUCCAGUCAACCGUGCACUGGAGCUGCGAUGGAAUAUUCCGAAAACGGUCAUGCAACAUUCUUCAGCGCAAGGCUGGAGAAGUCGUUACGGGGAAGCUCAGCAGUCCAGCGAGAGGAAAUCGCUGGAACCGUGACGACGAUGCGACAGACCGUUGAAAUACGUUCAACAGAGCUAUGGAGAUCCAUCGUUUGGAGCAGUGUGUAGAAUACCGCCAGCAUUUUGAAGAUGUUCAUUCAGGACUAAUUCAAGGGCGGUUCCAGCAACAAGGCAUCGUCAGCUUGUCCCGGAGCUCAUGCUCCGGGGCACAGAUAAGUUUCGGCAUUCCAAUUCCCUAACCGCAGUUUUCAACAUCUAAUGCGCACAUUUGCUCUACAGGCGUACAGACGAACAAGCGACUUAAUUUGAGAGGACAGGCUCCACAAAGUACCGACGCAGAAUGGCAAUAAUGGUGCAGCGUAGUCAGUGCAGUUCAUCAAACCAGCAACAGCAACAGUUCAGCGCUUCCAGCAGGAAUGGGUUGUCGCUGCCUCCCAGAGUAUCCGCCCUUGUAUCCGCCUUGGGAUACAAAUCUGUUCACCGCACGAGAGAGUCGGCAGUUACAACGACGAGAAUCUCCGAACGGAAGCAACCAACCGUAUCCAGUACAGCAGGGAACAACUAAAUCAGAGGAUGGAGUGGUUUGAACGAAAGAAUACCGUAGACAAGUUCAUUCGAGAACUCAAAAAGAAAUAAUCCCGAGAAGAGCUUAUUAAUAUAUCAGAAGAGCUGAAAACAGAAUAGUAUUCAUUGUUGAAUAGCUACGCCUUUCAAGAGGAGCGGUAUGUUUAUGCCAAUUUAAGCCAAAAUUUAUAGUGUGCUAAUCCCAUUAUUACAAUCGAGCAGUUACAAUCUAAUUAUAUUGCAUUUGGAAUUCUUAUAGGAUCAAAUAGGGAAAGAAAUCAGGGAUAAUAACCAUUUUAUAGAGCUUCGGAGAACUUCGGAUCUCCCGCCAAAUAGUGGCACUAUUCCUAGACUAUAAAAGCCCCCUUGACGCAUUCAUUAGAGCAGUAAUCAGUAAAUUAGCGUGCAUCUUGACUACAAACAUAAAUGUACUAUGUCAUAAAGCGACAAUUACAUACCGUUCGAUAAUAAAAUCUGUGUUUCGUGUUCAAAUAGACAUUGUAUCUUGUCCGUGUAUCCUUGUAGAAGUUACCCAGGGUUCUGUGGCCAACCUGUUCAGUAUUCGUGGCAAG